rnacentral:rRNA from 1 species
CAUCAGCGGCAGACGGGUGAGUAACACGUAGGUAACCUGCCCUCAAGACGGGGAUAACGCCUGGAAACGGGCGCUAAUACCGGAUGACCUUAGUUGGGGAAGAUCCGAUUAAGGAAAGGCUAUGGCGCUUGAGGAGGGGCCUGCGGCCCAUCAGUUAGUUGGUAGGGUAACGGCCUACCAAGGCGAAGACGGGUAGGGGGUGUGAGAGCACGGNCCCCCACACUGGGACUGAGACACGGCCCAGACUCCUACGGGAGGCAGCAGCGGGGAAUAUUGCGCAAUGGACGGAAGUCAGACGCAGCGACGCCGCGUGGGUGAAGAAGGCCUUCGGGUUGUAAAGCCCUUUUCUGAGGGAAGAGAAAGGACGGUACCUUAGGAAUAAGCGUCGGCUAACUACGUGCCAGCAGCCGCGGUAAGACGUAGGACGCGAGCGUUAUCCGGAUUUACUGGGCGUAAAGCGUGUGUAGGCGGCGUGACAAGUUGGGCGUGAAAGCCCCGUGCUCAACGCGGGGAGGCCGCACAAAUACUGUCAGGCUAGAGGGCACCAGAGGGGUGUG